rnacentral:lncRNA from 1 species
CCAGGAGUGACUUGGGUCCAUUUUACUUGUAGCUAUUCUUGAACUAGUAACCUUUUAUUUUGUUUGAUUGUUCAGUAAAUGAAAAGGUCUCAAGGAUCCUAAUCCAUCCUGUGGAGUAGCUAAAAUGACAAAACAUUUUAAAAUGUAUGCUUAGAAUCAGAGAUUAUGUACCAGGUUGGGGGGUGGGAAAGCAGAGCAAGGAAUGGUUAGUAACAGCUUGUCCAAGUGCCUCAGGGUGCCUGUAGAAAGAAAUUUAUUUAUUUUUACUAUCCCUUCCCCUGCAAGAAAAUAAAGGCGAAUUGAAGUGUGCAGUCUUCAUUUGCAUCUGACUUGUGAUGUGUUGUAUCUCAGAUGUGUCAGGACUUGAAGACUAUUUCUGUUCCUUUUUUUUAGCUCCUUUGUCAGUCUGUAAAGUGCCCCUGGCAUACUGGGAGGCACUGACAGCCUUGUUACCCUGAUAAUUUCCCUUUUGGAAGAAGCACAUCUACUUGAAACAGUAACAGAAACACCAUACCAAACAGAGGGGUAAAAUCAAGCCAACACAGCAGAAAUUGUUUAAGUGGCAAAAGUAAAGGGAGCUUUGUCUUCUGGGACAGGCAAGUAGAUUUUAAUUUUGUUCAGAGCUUCUAGGGAAGAUGUGUAUUACUAAGAACUAAUUUAUUGAUCCAUUGGGAGAAAAUCUUCAAGUACCUAUUAUGUGUUACUGGAUGACAAUUUUUGGCCUUGUUUCUUCAGUUUUCCUAGGACUGUUUCUCUCCUUUACCCUAUGGCAGAUUUCAUGGUUGAGAGAACCCUUAGAGCAUUUGCACAGGAGUUUGCAUGCAAAUGCUAGAAAUUACCUUGAAUUAAGAAAAUACAAUGCUGCUGUUUUAUGGUGUGGGAGAAGGAUUCCUUGUCAGGAAUGGGUUGGUCAUGAGGUAAGU